rfam:Vigna angularis cultivar Jingnong 6 chromosome 5, whole genome shotgun sequence.
UGGCAAUGAUGACUAAAAUUGGAUUUACGGCUACCAUUUACUUCCUUGGUAGUAGACUGAUGAAUUUUGGUUUAGGGUUCUGAGCCAG